GACGUAGGGCGCAAGCGUUGUCCGGAUUUAUUGGGCGUAAAGAGCUCGUAGGCGGCUUGUUGCGUCGGCCGUGAAAACCUGUGGCUUAACUACAGGCUUGCGGUCGAUACGGGCGGGCUGGAGUCCGGUAGGGGAGUGUGGAAUUCCCGGUGUAGCGGUGAAAUGCGCAGAUAUCGGGAGGAACACCAGUGGCGAAGGCGGCACUCUGGGCCGGAACUGACGCUGAGGAGCGAAAGCGUGGGUAGCAAACAGG
rnacentral:rRNA from 1 species